UACGUAGGGGGCAAGCGUUGUCCGGAAUCAUUGGGCGUAAAGCGCGUGUAGGCGGCCAGAAAAGUCCGCUGUGAAAACUCGAGGCUUAACCUCGAGAUGUCAUCGGAAACCAUCUGGCUAGAGUCCGGAAGAGGAGAGUGGAAUUCCUGGUGUAGCGGUGAAAUGCGCAGAUAUCAGGAAGAACACCAAUGGCGAAAGCAGCUCUCUGGGACGGUACUGACGCUGAGACGCGAAAGCGUGGGGAGCGAACAGG
rnacentral:rRNA from 1 species